rnacentral:lncRNA from 1 species
GCAUAUUCAGUAGUUGGAGGCAAAGUGGUUGCAAAGAGCCAGAGCAUUACUAGUAACCUUGGCAACGUUAAGCACCUGAGCUCUAAUGGAGGCCUUGAUCUUGCCAUCCAUGGCCUUCCCGGAGAACCCAUCAAGGCAAGUGUUGUCGUCAGUCAAAGCAGCACUAACCCAAGUCUCGACAUUGCUCAUGUGCCAUAUGAAAUCCUGACCCUUGGAUGACUUGCCCAUCUUCUUCAGCUCGUCCACAGAUUUGCUCAGCCGGUCGACGCUGUCGCCCAUCUCCUCAAGGCAGUCGUCGAUGGCCUCGUACUCCUUGUGGCUCAAGCCCUUGAACUUGGUCAGCUUGGUGACGAAUGACUUGGCGUACUGGGCUCUGGUUAGGCUGACGGACAGGGCGGUCUGGGCUAGCUGGCGAGGGCUUUGCUGGAUGGCGUUGGAGUAUGAAGAGAGGGACUGAACGCAGAGGUCUGGGU